CUUGCUUCUCUUGAGAGCGGCGGACGGGUGAGUAAUGCCUAGGAAUCUGCCUGGUAGUGGGGGAUAACGUCCGGAAACGGACGCUAAUACCGCAUACGUCCUACGGGAGAAAGCAGGGGACCUUCGGGCCUUGCGCUAUCAGAUGAGCCUAGGUCGGAUUAGCUAGUUGGUGGGGUAAUGGCUCACCAAGGCGACGAUCCGUAACUGGUCUGAGAGGAUGAUCAGUCACACUGGAACUGAGACACGGUCCAGACUCCUACGGGAGGCAGCAGUGGGGAAUAUUGGACAAUGGGCGAAAGCCUGAUCCAGCCAUGCCGCGUGUGUGAAGAAGGUCUUCGGAUUGUAAAGCACUUUAAGUUGGGAGGAAGGGCAGUAAAUUAAUACUUUGCUGUUUUGACGUUACCGACAGAAUAAGCACCGGCUAACUCUGUGCCAGCAGCCGCGGUAAUACAGAGGGUGCAAGCGUUAAUCGGAAUUACUGGGCGUAAAGCGCGCGUAGGUGGUUCGUUAAGUUGGAUGUGAAAUCCCCGGGCUCAACCUGGGAACUGCAUUCAAAACUGACGAGCUAGAGUAUGGUAGAGGGUGGUGGAAUUUCCUGUGUAGCGGUGAAAUGCGUAGAUAUAGGAAGGAACACCAGUGGCGAAAGCGACCACCUGGGACUGAUACUGACACUGAGGUGCGAAAGCGUGGGGAGCAAACAGG
rnacentral:rRNA from 1 species